ACUCCCGGAGGUAGGGGUGUACAUGAACAGUACCGGACCUGAAAACCGACCUGACCCGGACCUGUUGGGACCGGACCUAACCCGGACCUGUAGAUUCAGGUCCGGUCCCGGUCCCGGUCCGAAUCAGGUCCAAACCCGGGGUUUUCAGGUCUGGACCUGAAACCCGUUAAAAAUACGUUUUUUAUAAAAAAAAAAAAAAAUCCCAAAUUUCAAAAGAAGUCAGUUUCAUUUUUGUUAACACACUAACCCUAACUCACUCCUCACUCACUCUCUCUCUCUCUCUCUCAGCCGACAAGCACACACGGCAACACCCACUCCCUCCAGACCACCGCCCAGGCGCCCAGACACAAGUCGGAAGUCGCCACCGCCCACCAGACGUCCAGACCAGCAGCGACUACACGCUGUACAUCCUGCAACGACGAGUCGACGACUACACCCUGCAUCUGCAUCUCACUGAUCAACAAGAACCACGGAUUCUUACUCUUGCAAUAUGGAGAGCUCUCAAUCCAAAAGAUCUGCUGCUUUUUCUCAAGAAAUGUCACAGCCACUUUCUGAAAAAGGAUAUGGAAGAAUUGCAAUCUACUUUGCCUCCAGAUAAGAAGUUAAAAGCGGGGCGGGAAUACAUAUGGAACAGAAAAAGUAAGAGGAUAUGGAAGAAAAUUUGAAAGAGUUACAAGAAAUGGAGAAAGGUAGUAUUAAUUUUAUGUACUUGUAAUUUUGUUACACCAA